rfam:Medicago truncatula strain A17 chromosome 2, whole genome shotgun sequence.
CUGUAAUUUCAUAUUUCUUCACUUUUGGUCCCUCAUUUCACGUGUCAUGUAUGCAGAUUCUGUUGUCGUGGUGAAAUGAGGGACUAAAAGUGGAAGAAUAUGAAAUUACAG